rnacentral:ncRNA from 1 species
GUAAUAGAGGCGCGGGCUUCAUCAGUAGCCGGAGAGCGACACGGGAAUGUCGCCGGCGAAAGGGGAUCCCGCCGAAGCGCAGCCCGCUCCCGACGGCUUGCGCUGGGAUGACGCGAAAGACGCGUCAUACUGUCGUUACACGGUAACGGAGUGCUAUUA